CGGGAGUGGCGCGCAGGCGCGGGGAGCCUGUCUCGGCGGCUCUCGCCGCUCGCGUCAGGGCCGACACCUGCCGCUGUCGGGCUCGGAUUCCAGCCGGGUCGGGACGUUGCCCCGCGAUGCCGGGUGUCUGCCUGUGGUCCCCCGCGGGGUCGUGUCCGCAGCCCCCCGCGUCGUGACUCCGUGGGCCUGCCCGCCGACCCCCCGGAGCCCCCGAGGCCGGAGCGGCACCUGCGCGCGGUCUGGGCCACGACCGCCAGGUCCCCGCGGCUUCCCGGCGCGCGGGGCCUGCUAGGGGCCCGGUGCCCCGGGUCGCCGCGGCGGACGGGGCUCGUGAUGUGCGUGCGCCUGUCCGAGUCCCGGCCCAAAGCUGGUCACGUGCGCGCAGAAUGAGGGACGUGCUGUGAUGGGCCACGACCAUCCUCUGCGGUGACCCCCGCCCUUGAACUUAAGGCGCCCCUGUUCCGAAGCUGACAGCGAUGCGCCACCGAGUGUUCCCAAGCAUCCCGUUAGGAAGUGUCCGAUGCAGAAAAGUCGAGCACCACCAUCCUCCACGACUCCAGGAUUCUUUGCACCACGGUGACCCUGUUCCGGAACUUCAUAAAAGUGGAAUCAUACAGCUUGAA